rnacentral:lncRNA from 1 species
GGGGAAUAUAUCCUUUUACUGUCCAGCCUGGGAGGGUGGAAAUGAGAACUAGAAGAUCUUGGAACAUCCCAGGGCUUCAUUGAAGUUCAAUUACCGCUCUUGAGAUUGGGAACAUGACUUAAAACUAAUGGCAAAUGAAGAGACAAUUAUACACUGACUUUAGGAGUACAAAAGCUGAUUGUGGUCCUGUGUCUGAAGCCUCCCCAUCUGGGAGCAUCUGGGAUAUAGAAGCUGCAGGGAAUACGGAAGGCAGGGCUGUUGAGCUAUGACGACUGUGGGAAAGUCUGGUGUAAAGGAAUGAACAUUCUUGCCUUGUGGGUGAGACAGACUUAGGUAAGUUAUUUCACCCUUCUGAGCCUCAGUUCCCUCACACAUAGAAUGGUGAUCGUAAAAUCG